CUUUAGUAAGUAUAGAUUUUGUACAUUUACCUUCCAAGUAAAAAGACUGCGGAGUUCAGACUAAAGAG
rnacentral:tRNA from 1 species